CNAGGAGGGUCANGCGUUAUCCCGGAUUUAUUGGGUUUAAANGGGUCCGUAGGCGGGCCAAUAAGUCAGUGGUGAAAUCCUAUCGCUUAACGAUAGAACUGCCAUUGAAACUGUUGGUCUUGAAUUAUUUUGAAGUUGGCGGAAUGAGUAGUGUAGCGGUGAAAUGCAUAGAUAUUACUCAGAACACCGAUUGCGAAGGCAGCUGACUAAGAAUAUAUUGACGCUGAUGGACGAAAGCGUAGGUAGCGAACAGGAUUAGAUACCCUGGUAGUCUACGCAGUAAACGAUGGAUACUCGUUGUCGGGAAAAUUGAGACUCGGUGGCUAAGCGAAAGUGAUAAGUAUCCCACCUGGGGAGUACGAUCGCAAGAUUGAAACUCAAAGGAAUUGACGGGGGCCCGCACAAGCGGUGGAGCAUGUGGUUUAAUUCGAUGAUACGCGAGGAACCUUACCUGGGCUUAAAUGUAGAUUGACAGGACUGGAAACAGUUUUUCCUUCGGGCAAUUUACAAGGUGCUGCAUGGUUGUCGUCAGCUCGUGCCGUGAGGUGUCAGGUUAAGUCCUAUAACGAGCGCAACCCCUAUCGAUAGUUGCUAGCAGGUCAUGCUGAGGACUCUAUUGAGACUGCCGGUGCAACCGUGAGGAAGGU
rnacentral:rRNA from 1 species